AUCCAGCUGGCGAGUCCCAAAUAGGACGAAAUGCGCAUCCUGGAU
rfam:Trichobilharzia regenti genome assembly, scaffold: TRE_scaffold0007659